AUUGAACGUGGCGGCAGGCUUAACACAUGCAAGUCGAACGUAACAGGGUUAGCUGCUAAUUUGCUGACGAGUGCGGACGGGUGAGUAAUGCUUGGGAAUCUGGCUAUGAGGGGAUAACUACGGGAAACUGUAGUAAUACCGCGUAAAAUCUUCGGAUUAAAGUGGGACUUUCGGGCCACCUCCAUGAGAUGAGCCCAAGUGGGUUAGGUAGUUGGUUAGGUAAAGGCUGACCAAGCCGACGAUCUCUAGUGGUCUGAGAGGAUGACCAGCCACACUGGAACUGAGACACGGUCCAGACUCCUACGGGAGGCAGCAGUGGGGAAUAUUGCACAAUGGGGGGAACCCUGAUGCAGCCAUGCCGCGUGAAUGAAGAAGGCCUUCGGGUUGUAAAGUUCUUUCCGGUGACGAGGAAGGUUGGUAUGUUAAUAGCAUAUCAAAUUGACGUUAAUCACAGAAGAA
rnacentral:rRNA from 1 species